rnacentral:rRNA from 1 species
UAGUCCACGCCGUAAACGAUGGUUACUAGUUGUUUGGAUUUCGAUCUAAGUGACUAAGCGAAAGUGAUAAGUAACCCACCUGGGGAGUACGUUGGCAACAAUGAAACUCAAAGGAAUUGACGGGGGCCCGCACAAGCGGUGGAGCAUGUGGUUUAAUUCGAUGAUACGCGAGGAACCUUACCAGGGCUUAAAUGUAGUAUGACAGGUUUAGAGAUAGACUUUUCUUCGGACAUAUUACAAGGUGCUGCAUGGUUGUCGUCAGCUCGUGCCGUGAGGUGUCAGGUUAAGUCCUAUAACGAGCGCAACCCCUGUUGUUAGUUGCCAUCGAGUAAUGUCGGGAACUCUAGCAAGACUGCCGGUGCAAACCGCGAGGAAGGUGGGGAUGACGUCAAAUCAUCACGGCCCUUACGUCCUGGGCCACACACGUGCUACAAUGGUAGGUACAGAGAGCAGCCACAACGCGAGUUGGAGCGAAUCUAUAAAACCUAUCACAGUUCGGAUCGGAGUCUGC